rnacentral:rRNA from 1 species
GACGAACGCUGGCGGCGUGCCUAAUACAUGCAAGUUGAGCGCUGAAGGUUGGUACUUGUACCGACUGGAUGAGCAGCGAACGGGUGAGUAACGCGUGGGGAAUCUGCCUUUGAGCGGGGGACAACAUUUGGAAACGAAUGCUAAUACCGCAUAAAAACUUUAAACACAAGUUUUAAGUUUGAAAGAUGCAAUUGCAUCACUCAAAGAUGAUCCCGCUUUGUAUUAGCUAGUUGGUGAGGUAAAGGCUCACCAAGGCGAUGAUACAUAGCCGACCUGAGAGGGUGAUCGGCCACAUUGGGACUGAGGCACGGCCCAAACUCCUACGGGAGGCAGCAGUAGGGAAUCUUCGGCAAUGGACGAAAGUCUGACCGAGCAACGCCGCGUGAGUGAAGAAGGUUUUCGGAUCGUAAAACUCUGUUGGUAGAGAAGAACGUUGGUGAGAGUGGAAAGCUCAUCAAGUGACGGUAACUACCCAGAAAGGGACGGCUAACUACGUG